UUUACUGAAACUUGUAACUAAUCUAGUGGAGUUAAGAGUGUUGACUGUUUGUUGCUACACUUAGUCAAAAUCACAGCUUCCAUCGUUGAAAUCCAGCAGAAGGAUCCUUGCUUUAGAGCGGAUCAAUCUGGUGAAGCUACUCUCUUGGAGGAGAUUCUUUCUAUGCUUUAUUGCAUGGCAAUCGUGAGGUGAGAUACAAGGGGCCUAUCAAAUAAAAAUUACUACAACUGCCCUGGUUUUUUUGCUAGCCAGUAGGCACAAUGAAUUGGCAAGAGUACACGUAUAAUGCUAUCUAGUUAAGUCUGAUGUGGGAAUAACGACAAGAUCAAAAGCUAAAUCAGCUCCAGAUCAAUGGGUAAUGUUGCCACUU